rnacentral:ncRNA from 1 species
CUCUUAUCCAGAGUUGGUGGAGGGACAGGCCCUUUGAAACCCAGCAACCGUCAUUCAUUUGACACGGUGCUAACCUGAAGCAAGGAGUAAGAUUACCUCCUUGGACGAUAAGAG